GUCGAAGUGCUGAAACUGGCAGACAGGCAGGUUUCAGAAACCUGUGCUCAUAAAGAGCGUGUGGGUUCGAAUCCCACCUUCGACA
rfam:Candidatus Woesebacteria bacterium RIFCSPHIGHO2_12_FTLL_42_9 rifcsphigho2_12_scaffold_1909, whole genome shotgun sequence.